UACGUAGGGGGCAAGCGUUGUCCGGAUUUAUUGGGCGUAAAGAGCGUGUAGGCGGCCUGACAGGUCUGCUGUGAAAACUCGAGGCUCAACCUCGAGAUGUCGGCGGAAACCGUCUGGCUAGAGUCCUGAAGAGGAGAGUGGAAUUCCUGGUGUAGCGGUGAAAUGCGCAGAUAUCAGGAAGAACACCUAUGGCGAAGGCAGCUCUCUGGGACGGUACUGACGCUGAGACGCGAAAGCGUGGGGAGCGAACAGG
rnacentral:rRNA from 1 species